rnacentral:rRNA from 1 species
UCGAUUCCGGAGAGGGAGCCUGAGAAACGGCUACCACAUCCAAGGAAGGCAGCAGGCGCGCAAAUUACCCAAUCCCGACACGGGGAGGUAGUGACAAUAAAUAACAACACAGGGCUCUUUUGGGUCUUGUUAUUGGAAUGAGUACGAUUUAAAUCUCCUAACGAGGAACAAUUGGAGGGCAAGUCUGGUGCCAGCAGCCGCGGUAAUUCCAGCUCCAAUAGCGUAUAUUAAAGUUGUUGCAGUUAAAAAGCUCGUAGUUGAAUUUCAGGCCUGGCUGGACGGUCCGCCCUUCGGGUGAGUACUGUCUGUGGUCGGGUCCUACCUUCUGGCGAAGCGUCAUGGNCUUAACCGGNCGUGGCGGGGAACCAGGACUUUUGCUGUGAAAAAAUUAGAGUGUUCAAAGCAGGCAAUCGCUUGGAUACAUUAGCAUGGAAUAAUGGAAUAGGACAAUGGUUCUAUUUGUUGGUUUCUAGGACCGUUGUAAUGAUUAAUAGGGAUAGUUGGGGGCAUUAGUAUUCAAUUGUCAGAGGUGAAAUUCUUGGAUUUAUUGAAGACUAACUACUGCGAAAGCAUUUGCCAAGGAUGUUUUC